CUCUUUUGGUCUAAGGGAGCUACCAUUUGAUUUUUAUGGGGGGGCUAGGAUGAAAUUUGAAAAAAAUAGGCAGGACAGGAGUUUUGAGUAAAAAAAAAAGGCAGGAUGAGACACUUGCAAAAAAAAAAAAUCAGGAUGACAAUUUAUGUCAAAAAAGUCAGGAUAAACUAAAAAAAAAAAAAAGCAGGACCGAAUAGAGUGAAAAAUAAAAAGGCAGGACAGAGAUUACAACUAAAAAAAAAUGCAGGACAAAAAUUUUCAUCCUAGCCCCCCCAUAAAAAUCAAAUGGUAGCUCCCUAAUUUG
rnacentral:lncRNA from 1 species